CGGGGGAGGCGGGAUCCUGGGCUGUGUCCCGGCGCCUGCGCUGGUGGAUUCGAGCUCCCACCCCGCAGCCCCCU
rnacentral:pre_miRNA from 1 species